rnacentral:rRNA from 1 species
CACCUCUAGCAUUACUAGUAUUAGAGGCACUGCCUGCCCGGUGACAUACGUUUAACGGCCGCGGUACCCUGACCGUGCAAAGGUAGCAUAAUCACUUGUUCUUUAAAUGGGGACUCGCAUGAAAGGCACCACGAGGGUUUAACUGUCUCUUACUUUUAACCAGUGAAAUUGACCUGUCCGUGAAGAGACGGACAUAAAAUAAUAAGACGAGAAGACCCUAUGGAGCUUUAAUCUAUUAAUGCAAUCAAAAACUAUACAAACCCACGGACCUUUAAACUACCGACGCCUGCAUUAAAAAUUUUGGUUGGGGCGACCUCGGAGCACAACAAAACCUCCGAAUAAUACAUGCUAAGACCACACAAGUCAAAGCGAACUAACACUUAUAAUUGAUCCAAUAAUUUGAUCAACGGAACAAGUUACCCUAGGGAUAACAGCGCAAUUCUAUUCUAGAGUCCAUAUCGACAAUAGAGCUUACGACCUCGAUGUUGGAUCAGGACAUCCUAAUGGUGCAGCAGCUAUCAAGGGUUCGUUUGUUCAACGAUUAAAGUCCU